rnacentral:rRNA from 1 species
CAGUAGCCGCGGGAAUACGUAGGUGGCAAGCGUUGUCCGGAAUUAUUGGGCGUAAAGGGCUCGCAGGCGGUUUCUUAAGUCUGAUGUGAAAGCCCCCGGCUCAACCGGGGAGGGUCAUUGGAAACUGGGAAACUUGAGUGCAGAAGAGGAGAGUGGAAUUCCACGUGUAGCGGUGAAAUGCGUAGAGAUGUGGAGGAACACCAGUGGCGAAGGCGACUCCCUGGUCUGUAACUGACGCUGAGGAGCGAAAGCGUGGGGAGCGAACAGGAUUAGAUACCCCCGUAGUCCCUGUCUCUUAUAC